CCAUGUAGAGGGGAACUCAUAGACGUAAAGAUUACCGAAAACGACACAAUAAAUCCUUACAACAACGAAAAUUCUUGCCGAAUCACCUACAGCCCUCAGAUGAGGAACACGGUUGUGUUCUUUUCAACGGUUGAAACGACAAAAUCCAAACGAAGCACGUCAAAAGGGUCAAAUUUCGUCCGCCUUACUUGCGAGGUCUUUAAUUCGCUAAAAGAGGACGAGAAUCUCAUAAAUGUCCUAACAACUAUUCAAAAUGAGAGCCACAAGGAAAAUGACAUAAUUGAUAACAUAUUCGCUGGUCAGACUCCAGAAGUAAAAAUGUUUUCCCAGGACAGAAGUUUUGUCAUCUCAAAGAGUCCUUCAAAUAACUCGACUUCCUCAACAUCUGACGUCGUGGGCACCAAAAUUAAAAAGAAACGUGAGUUUUACUCAUGGAAAUCAAGCUCAGGGGAAGACCUGCGACACCGCCUUGCGUUCCUAUAUUCCGCUGAGCAAAAUAAUCAGUUGAAUGAAUUAAAAAGAGUGUUGUCCGAAAACCUUCAUUUUCAGACCAGCG